UACGUAGGGGGCAAGCGUUGUCCGGAAUCAUUGGGCGUAAAGCGCGCGUAGGCGGCUCGUUAAGUCCGCUGUGAAAGUCCAGGGCUCAACCCUGGAAUGCCGGUGGAUACUGUCGAGCUCGAGUCCGGAAGAGGCGAGUGGAAUUCCUGGUGUAGCGGUGGAAUGCGCAGAUAUCAGGAAGAACACCGAUGGCGAAGGCAGUUCGCUGGGACGGUACUGACGCUGAGGCGCGAAAGCGUGGGGAGCAAACAGG
rnacentral:rRNA from 1 species